rnacentral:rRNA from 1 species
GACGAACGCUGGCGGCGUGCUUAACACAUGCAAGUCGAACGGAAAGGCCCUGCUUUUGUGGGGUGCUCGAGUGGCGAACAGGUGAGUAACACGUGAGUAACCUGCCCUUGACUUUGGGAUAACUUCAGGAAACUGGGGCUAAUACCGGAUAGGAGCUCCUGCUGCAUGGUGGGGGUUGGAAAGUUUCGGCGGUUGGGGAUGGACUCGCGGCUUAUCAGCUUGUUGGUGGGGUAGUGGCUUACCAAGGCUUUGACGGGUAGCCGGCCUGAGAGGGUGACCGGCCACAUUGGGACUGAGAUACGGCCCAGACUCCUACGGGAGGCAGCAGUGGGGAAUAUUGCACAAUGGGCGGAAGCCUGAUGCAGCAACGCCGCGUGCGGGAUGACGGCCUUCGGGUUGUAAACCGCUUUCGCCUGUGACGAAGCGUGAGUGACGGUAAUGGGUAAAGAAGCACCGGCUAACUACGUGCCAGCAGCCGCGGUGAUACGUAGGGUGCGAGCGUUGUCCGGAUUUAUUGGGCGUAAAGGGCUCGUAGGUGGUUGAUCGCGUCGGAAGUGUAAUCUUGGGGCUUAACCCUGAGCGUGCUUUCGAUACGGGUUGACUUGAGGAAGGUAGGGGAGAAUGGAAUUCCUGGUGGAGCGGUGGAAUGCGCAGAUAUCAGGAGGAACACCAGUGGCGAAGGCGGUUCUCUGGGCCUUUCCUGACGCUGAGGAGCGAAAGCGUGGGGAGCGAACAGGCUUAGAUACCCUGGUAGUCCACGCUGUAAACGGUGGGUACUAGGUGUGGGGUCCAUUCCACGGGUUCCGUGCCGUAGCUAACGCUUUAAGUACCCCGCCUGGGGAGUACGGCCGCAAGGCUAAAACUCAAAGGAAUUGACGGGGCCCCGCACAAGCGGCGGAGCAUGCGGAUUAAUUCGAUGCAACGCGUAGAACCUUACCUGGGUUUGACAUGGAUCGGGAGUGCUCAGAGAUGGGUGUGCCUCUUUUGGGGUCGGUUCACAGGUGGUGCAUGGCUGUCGUCAGCUCGUGUCGUGAGAUGUUGGGUUAAGUCCCGCAACGAGCGCAACCCUUGUUCACUGUUGCCAGCACGUUAUGGUGGGGACUCAGUGGAGACCGCCGGGGUCAACUCGGAGGAAGGUGGGGAUGACGUCAAGUCGUCAUGCCCCUUAUGUCCAGGGCUUCACGCAUGCUACAAUGGCUGGUACAGAGAGUGGCGAGCCUGUGAGGGUGAGCGAAUCUCGGAAAGCCGGUCUCAGUUCGGAUUGGGGUCUGCAACUCGACCUCAUGAAGUCGGAGUCGCUAGUAAUCGCAGAUCAGCAACGCUGCGGUGAAUACGUUCCCGGG